rnacentral:lncRNA from 1 species
CUAUUAUAACUGUGCAUAGUAUGUGUGUGCGUGUCAACUCGUGUAGCCAAGCGAUUUGCGCCCCCACACGACGCAACACGACACGGCACGACACGCACAUGCACGUCGAAAUCUGUACAAAGCGUUAAAGCUCAGAGCGGCUUCACUUACCAACUCUCCUGGCUUCCAGCUCUCCGUGAACAAGACUCACCUUCCCUGGUCGACAUAUGUACUACACACUGGGUACUGUCUGUCCCUGUCCCUGUCCCUGUCCCGGUUCCUGCCUCUGGCCGGUCCUGCUCCCGGUCUCGGUCUCGUUUGUUCUAUUUCUUGCUCUAACUGGGUGUUCAACUAAGUGCGUGUGUGUCUGCCUGGGUGUGCGAGGGUGUGUGGUUGUGAAAAUUUUAUAUAAUUACACUUUGCGCAUUUUCACAAUGAAGUUACAAUGUUUUAAUUAAACCAUUGGAAAGCCAAAUAACUCUUGCUUGCUGUGGAAUGGCGGCAUGGGGCAAAAGACAAACCCGUAUGUCUGGAAUGGAACCACACCAGAACGAGAAAAGAGAAGAGGAACAAGCGGAAUUUGACUAAGAACACAAAUCAAGGGUAAAAGAACAGAGAGAGGCUGAAAUCGAGUUGCUAGAUCACAGCACUUUAGCAAUAAGAGCACAGAAAAGUCAGCUAUGUCAACAGCAUUGAAAGCAAUACAAAUAUUUUAUUCGAAGCUGAGAUGUGACGAAUCGCAGAUUAUCGAUUGCUACACGUUUCAUAUACGCAGAACUGCAUAAUAUGUACAUUUUAGCUUCGGUCUUCUUAGUAAAUACUGUAACAAUGACCUGUUUAUUCAACAAUCACAAAAAUAAAUAUGUUUUUACUUGAUCUUGCUUAGGGCUUCGAGACUUGCAAGUUUCUACCGAGCCUUCAUGCUGUACGGUUACACCACGUUGAUGUUCAUCUUGCUGAUCGUCCUGUUUGUGGAGAGUAGGCAUCACUGCGUUAUCCAAAACUCCAUUUGCACCAAGCACACUGAAUGUUGUUCCGAGUUGUUUCGUUGCAUAUUUUACAAAUGUAAGAAAAGGAAGACGAAGAAGUUAGAACGAAGCGAUGGCGAGUGCAAGAACUCGCAGGAAUUGCCUAAAACUGACGACAAAGAAGAAAGCGCGGGAUCGCCAGACCUAGAGGCAGAGAGAGGGGGAGACAAUCGAGAGAUGCUUUCGGCUCUCGGCAGCGAAAUUGAGGAAUAAUUUCACUUUACACAAUAAAGCUUAACCAAAAUGGUGGGACAAUUUUACCUCACUCAAAAUA